GAUGAAGAACGUAGCGAAAUGCGAUAAGUAAUGUGAAUUGCAGAAUUCAGUGAAUCAUCGAAUCUUUGAACGCACCUUGCACCCUUUGGCAUUCCGAAGGGUAUGCUCGUUUGAGUGUCAUUGUACUCUCACACUUCCGAUCUUUGGAUUGGGAGCGGUGGACUUGGGUGUUGCUGCUUACUGUGGCUCACCUCAAAUCGAUUCGUGCACCUCUUGGUUGGACAUAGUACGGCGUGAUAAGUGUCUUCGCCGGCACCUCAGUAGAGGGUGGCUGAUCGGGAGCUCUGCUUCAAACCGUCCUCGGACAACAACUGACAACUUGACCUCUAAUCGAGUAGGACUACCCGCUGAACUUAAGCAUAUCAAUAAGCGGAGGA
rnacentral:misc_RNA from 1 species